UACGAAGGGGGCUAGCGUUGCUCGGAUUGACUGGGCGUAAAGGGCGCGUAGGCGGAUAGUACAGUCAGGCGUGAAAUUCCUGGGCUCAACCUGGGGACUGCGCUUGAUACGGCUAGGCUAGAGGAUGGAAGAGGGUCGCGGAAUUCCCAGUGUAGAGGUGAAAUUCGUAGAUAUUGGGAAGAACACCGGUGGCGAAGGCGGCGACCUGGUCCAUUACUGACGCUGAGGCGCGACAGCGUGGGGAGCAAACAGG
rnacentral:rRNA from 1 species